rnacentral:rRNA from 1 species
GGGCCUACGGGAGGCAGCAGUCGGGAAUUUUGGGCAAUGGGCGAAAGCCUGACCCAGCAACGCCGCGUGAAGGAUGAAAUCCCUCGGGAUGUAAACUUCGCAAGAACGGGAAGAAUAAGUAAGGGUUAAUAUCCCUUACGAUGACGGUACUGUUUGUAAGCUCCGGCUAACUCCGUGCCAGCACCCGCGGUAAU